rnacentral:misc_RNA from 1 species
AUAGUAUGUCACCAAAUAAUAUAAAUAAAAGAAAAAAGAGUAAUAUUUUGACUAAAGUUAAAAUACUAAAACUGCUACCGAACAGGUUAUACAGUUUCUUACGAAGGUUGAGUAGUACAUUUUCCUCAAGUUUCUAGUAAACAGUGUGAAUAAAAACUCAGAAAAAUAACAAUUGAAAAAUCAUUUGCAUUUGCAGAGCAGAAAAUUAGAAACUAAAUCUAAUAAUGGAAAGAGCAAAAUACAACAUGGCAACCAUGUAAACACCCACAUUAAUACGAGUGGAAGGUCUGAUAAAAAAACAAUGUGCUAAAUGAAAAAUCCUGAGUUUUAACAUAACAUUAUUGAUAAAUAGAACUUCAAUAAAAUGAAAAGUUUAACUCGACCAAAUUCUAAUACAACUUACACUGUGCUUAUCCAUUUUUAGUAGUGCAUUUGCUGGCCUACAAUGCAUAUUCCAUAAGUAUAUCCUACACAUACCAGCAUAAAAAUUAUAAUGGAGCAUUUAAAUCUAUCAGAAAUCAAACUCACUACUUUAGAAACCCAUACUUCACCUCGAAAUACUUCCUCCCACCAAACAUACUGAAACAAGUCAAUAACCAGUUACAUGUCUUAAGAUCGAAUACCAUCAAUAUAAUAUACAUGGAGGAGCAUGUAAUGUAAGGAGUCAACAAAAGUGAAUACUGCACCAUACAAAGACAACAAAAACAAGCACAUAAAAAUGUUCAAUAUAUAUGAGAGCAUCACCCUGUGAAUAAUAGGUCCUUAAAAAAGAAACAGUACUCUCCACAUAACACCAAAAGGAACACACACAAUUGCCAAAAAAAAAAGCACAAAAAUAUAAUCUGUAAACAUGAAGCCUCCAGAAUUAAAGAAUUAUACAAAAAUUAUAGAACACAAAUGGUUCGUAUCUUUAAAAUGCCCAAAGGAAAUGAGUAAUAUAAUAAUACAAUAUGUUAGAAUGCAACAACCUAUGUUCGCCCCAGUCCUUGUGUUCCAAGUGGCACUGUUGCAAAAAAAUGAGCUUCUCAAGAACCUAAAAUUUCCAGAUCAAAUUAAAUGUGACAAAAAUGGGCAUGCUAAAGGCAAAACCUGAUCAAUAUCUGUCCACAAUAUAAAGGCUUAACAAAUACCUACAUACAGCACAAUUAAUUAUAAUAUACACACACACACACAAAAUUUCCAACAUUUAACAAUUAAAUAUACCAAUUGCAUGCAAAAACUAGAGUCGAGAAAGCAGUUAUUUACAUUAUAUGCAUUUUUGAGACAACCAUAUGAGAUUCAGAUAUCUCAAAUUUCCAACAUAGCCAUGAUCCCUCUUUACCUUUAAGCACUAGCACAGGAACCUUCAACCUAAAUGUAAAAAUACAAGAAGAGUACUCAGCUGAAAUCCACAUGCUGCAUUUCCACCUUAGGAUAAUCACUGAUGUUGUUACUGGCCACAUGCAGCAAUUAUGUUUAUGUUUUCUGCCAAUUCCAACCUCUCCAUUUCACAUUGCUCAGCCAUCCAAAAUUGAGCAAAGGUUGCCCUGACUGUAACUUCACAAGGUGUAUUCUGUAUGGUAUCAGGAGAUUCCUAAGACCUGUAAUGCACAUUGUCUUAUAAAUCUGAGCAAUAUGGGUAUUUCCUUUAGUAGUCAUAUUUGGCUUCUCCAAGCAUGCAAGAAAUUCUAGGUCUGCUUUCAACAGCUUGGCUUGAUCAUGAGUGUCAUAACCCAUAUCAUGACAGUAGCAACAAUAGUCCAACCAAUCAAUUGGCCUCUUAUCCCAAAGAGGAGAACCCCUGUCUUUUCCACUUGACCAGUUUGGUCCACAAUAAUGCCCAUAACGUGGAAAUAGCUGAGAAAGAUAGCCUCUUGCACCAGUAUGCCAAGGAACCUUGGAAACAUAUGGCCUGAAGCGCAAGGGACUACCACCAGUACCACCAUUUUCAACAACUCCAUGAGAUUGAGCACGCCUUUUUAACCCUUUGUUUAUAGUGGUCGGCGGCCGAAUUUUAUCUUUAGCAUUGAUAGCAAAAGGCAAAAAUGAGAGUAAGGACCAUCCCCACAGCUUGACAUCAAAAUGAGCCUUUUGUUUAGGUUGUUCUAAGGCAGAAGCAGAACCCAUAGAUAAAACAACGUCUGUGGGUUUACAGCUUGUUCCCAAAUCCUUGUUUGAAUGCAUAUUAAACCAAGGUAUGUGAUCCAGAAACCUGGAAUUCAUUGUUAAGAAACAAACAAUGUUCCAACCAUCACCAAAUUGCUUGUUGAGAAAACAGGAUCUGAUUGGAUUGAGGAAUUAUGAGAAUGCGUAAUAUGGCGAAAGAAAGAGAGCGUAGGCUAAUUAAAUUGAAGGAGAGAAACGUUUCCCUCGAAUCGUUUUUCCCCUGUACCUGAAGGGGGUGGAACGCUCUCCCUCGGGUCUCUGUUUGUCUAUGAAGAGACGCCUGGACUAGAAUGAAUUAUGCUUCGGAA